GACGAGCAUCACAAACGUUAUUCGGAAUUACUGGGCUUAAAGGGUGCGUAGGCGGUGCAGCAAGUCGGGAGUGAAAUCCCACAGCUCAACUGUGGAAUUGCUUUCGAUACUGCUGUGCUUGAGUGAGACAGAGGUAAGCGGAACUUAGGGUGGAGCGGUGAAAUGCGUUGAUAUCCUAAGGAACACCGGUGGCGAAGGCGGCCAUCUGGACCGAGACUGACGCUGAGGCGCGAAAGCGUGGGGAGCAAACAGG
rnacentral:rRNA from 1 species